CGGGGUGUAGCGCAGCCAGGUAGCGCAACGGGCUGGGGGUCCGUCGGUCGGCGGUUCGAAUCCGCCCACCCCGACAA
rnacentral:tRNA from 1 species